GAUGAACGCUGGCGGCGUGCCUAAUACAUGCAAGUCGAGCGAACAGACGAGGAGCUUGCUCCUCUGACGUUAGCGGCGGACGGGUGAGUAACACGUGGAUAACCUACCUAUAAGACUGGGAUAACUUCGGGAAACCGGAGCUAAUACCGGAUGAUAUUUUGAACCGCAUGGUUCAAUAGUGAAAGACGGUCUUGCUGUCACUUAUAGAUGGAUCCGCGCAGCAUUAGCUAGUUGGUAAGGUAACGGCUUACCAAGGCAACGAUGCGUAGCCGACCUGAGAGGGUGAUCGGCCACACUGGAACUGAGACACGGUCCAGACUCCUACGGGAGGCAGCAGUAGGGAAUCUUCCGCAAUGGGCGAAAGCCUGACGGAGCAACGCCGCGUGAGUGAUGAAGGUCUUCGGAUCGUAAAACUCUGUUAGUAGGGAAGAACAAAUGUGUAAGUAACUAUGCACAUCUUGACGGUACCUAAUCAGAAAGCCACGGCUAACUACGUG
rnacentral:rRNA from 1 species